UGUCAAAUUGAAUACAAUUUUUAAUGUAUUUUGUAUGAAUAAAAAAAAAAAACGAACCGAAACGAAACGUGAGAGGGAAGAAGAGAAUCGCCAAGUGCAGCUGGUAGUGAAGGACCUGAAGGAAGAAGUUUGAGCAUGGAUCCUGAACAUACAGAGGCUCUUUUAAAUAUGUAAAACAGCCAUUUGGAGAAGCAAACUGGAUUGCUCACAGAAACUCAUAAAACCAUGACUCAAGAACUCCAAAAACUUGUGGUGGAAGAAGAGAUGAUGAUGCGGAAGUUAUAUGAGCUGAUGUCUACACAUCGUCUAAAUAAGAAGAAAAUGGAGGAGGCUCAAAAGGUGUCACAUGGUAAAGAAAUAGUGGUAGUGGAAGCUUCUGAUACGACGUCUACUACAUCCAACUCCAAGGCGUUAAUCACAUAUGUGAGAAGAAGGAAAAAAAAUCAAAAGCCAACUCAAUGAAAAUUUUCAGUUCUUGUGUAAGUAAAUUUCUCUUUGAGUGACAUGUUAGUUUUACUUAUUAUCUAUAUCUUCUUUUAUAGGGUAUUUGUGCGAUGUUUUCUAGUUUUUACGAUGGCUCUUAUGCCUAUAUAGCGGGUAGUAGUCUUCACCUUGUUUAUGCUUGUAAAAUGCAGCUGAAGUUUUUUUUUUUUUUUUGAAUGAUGAAUAAAACCGUUUA